rnacentral:rRNA from 1 species
AUUGAACGCUGGCGGCAGGCCUAACACAUGCAAGUCGAGCGGAUGAAGGGAGCUUGCUCCUGGAUUCAGCGGCGGACGGGUGAGUAAUGCCUAGGAAUCUGCCUGGUAGUGGGGGAUAACGUCCGGAAACGGGCGCUAAUACCGCAUACGUCCUGAGGGAGAAAGUGGGGGAUCUUCGGACCUCACGCUAUCAGAUGAGCCUAGGUCGGAUUAGCUAGUUGGUGGGGUAAAGGCCUACCAAGGCGACGAUCCGUAACUGGUCUGAGAGGAUGAUCAGUGACACUGGAACUGAGACACGGUCCAGACUCCUACGGGAGGCAGCAGUGGGGAAUAUUGGACAAUGGGCGAAAGCCUGAUCCAGCCAUGCCGCGUGUGUGAAGAAGGUCUUCGGAUUGUAAAGCACUUUAAGUUGGGAGGAAGGGCAGUAAGUUAAUACCUUGCUGUUUUGACGUUACCAACAGAAUAAGCACCGGCUAACUUCGUG